rnacentral:rRNA from 1 species
GUAGGUAGCAAGCGUUGUCCGGGAAUUAUUGGGGCGUAAAGCGCGCGCAGGCGGUUCUUUAAGUCUGAUGUGAAAGCCCACGGGCUCAACCGUGGAGGGUCAUUGGAAACUGGAGAACUUGAGUACAGAAGAGGAAAGCGGAAUUCCACGUGUAGCGGUGAAAUGCGUAGAGAUGUGGAGGGACACCAGUGGCGAAGGCGGCUUUCUGGUCUGUAACUGACGCUGAGGCGCGAAAGCGUGGGGAGCAAACAGGAUUAGAUACCCUGGUAGUCCACGCCGUAAACGAUGAGUGCUAAGUGUUAGGGGGUUUCCGCCCCUUAGUGCUGCAGCUAACGCAUUAAGCACUCCGCCUGGGGAGUACGGCCGCAAAGGCUG